rnacentral:rRNA from 1 species
AGCGAACGCCGGCGGCAGGCCUAACACAUGCAAGUCGAACGGACCCUUCGGGGUUAGUGGCGGACGGGUGAGUAACACGUGGGAACGUGCCUUUAGGUUCGGAAUAGCUCCUGGAAACGGGUGGUAAUGCCGAAUGUGCCCUUCGGGGGAAAGAUGUAUCGCACUUUAGAGCGGCCCGCGUCUGAUUAGCUAGUUGGUGAGGUAAUGGCUCACCAAGGCGACGAUCAGUAGCUGGUCUGAGAGGAUGACCAGCCACAUUGGGAAUGAGACACGGCCCAAACUCCUACGGGAGGCAGCAGUGGGGAAUCUUGCGCAAUGGGCGAAAGCCUGACGCAGCCAUGCCGCGUGGAGGAUGAAGGUCUUAGGAUUGUAAAAUCCUUUCACCGGUGAAGAUAAUGACUGUAGCCGGAGAAGAAGCCCCGGCUAAAUUCGUGCCAACAGCCGCCGCCGUAA